rnacentral:rRNA from 1 species
GGAGGUACGCUGCGCGGUAGGCCUAUACAUGCACGUCGAACGGCAGCACAGGAGAGCUUGCUCUCUGGGUGGCGAGUGGCGGACGGGUGAGGAAUACAUCGGAAUCUACUUUUUCGUGGGGGAUAACGUAGGGAAACUUACGCUAAUACCGCAUACGACCUACGGGUGAAAGCAGGGGACCUUCGGGCCUUGCGCGAUUGAAUGAGCCGAUGUCGGAUUAGCUAGUUGGCGGGGUAAAGGCCCACCAAGGCGACGAUCCGUAGCUGGUCUGAGAGGAUGAUCAGCCACACUGGAACUGAGACACGGUCCAGACUCCUACGGGAGGCAGCAGUGGGGAAUAUUGGACAAUGGGCGCAAGCCUGAUCCAGCCAUACCGCGUGGGUGAAGAAGGCCUUCGGGUUGUAAAGCCCUUUUGUUGGGAAAGAAAUCCAGCUGGCUAAUACCCGGUUGGGAUGACGGUACCCAAAGAAUAAGCACCGGCUAACUUCGUGCCAGCAGCCGCGGUAAUACGAAGGGUGCAAGCGUUACUCGGAAUUACUGGGCGUAAAGCGUGCGUAGGUGGUCGUUUAAGUCCGUUGUGAAAGCCCUGGGCUCAACCUGGGAACUGCAGUGGAUACUGGGCGACUAGAGUGUGGUAGAGGGUAGCGGAAUUCCUGGUGUAGCAGUGAAAUGC